GGAAGUUAAGAAACUGUUUCUUAACUUUUAACUAAAAAAACUAAGAACCGGUUCUUAAAGUACUUAUUUAAGAACUAGUUUUUAGCUUUUUUAGUUAAAAGUUAAGAAACAGUUUCUUAACUUCC
rfam:Brassica oleracea var. oleracea cultivar TO1000 chromosome C6, whole genome shotgun sequence